rnacentral:lncRNA from 1 species
UGUUGAUUCCAACACAACUCUCAUCAGAUUCCUCUGAAAACUUUUCAUCAACAAAGCUUCCAUCUUUAUCACUCUUCCUCCUCUUUGAGGAUGAACCAUCAAGUGAAAGACAACUAAACAAUGGAACAUCCUUGCUACGAGUUCCGCUAGAAACACCACCAGUCCCACUUAUUGUAAUCGGGUUUUCAGUUCCCUAACCACACCUUCAAUCCUUGACAUCAAUCUCCCACUUAACUUAACCCUCAAGGUAUCCACCAUUCGCAUACUCGUCGUAUGAUCCUCACUAGGUUUUCUUACCCUCGACGCACACGUCUUCUCCGUUUCCCAGCAACGGUGUUCACUUAGCAUUCAAUCUGCUCCAUCGUUCCCCAAUGGCCAC